GUGCUUUCUUCAGCAGCACAUAUACCAAAAUUGGAACAAUAAAGAGAAGAUCAGCACAGCCCCUGCACAAAGAUGACACGCAAACUCAUGAAGUGUAUCAUAUUUUU